AAGUAUGAAUUUUGGUGUGUUACUUGAACAGUUCUAGAUUUGUGCCUGUUUAAAAUAAAAAAACUGGCUGAUUUUUUCAACCAAGUGUUAUGAGAUCUAGAAUUAUACACAAUACAUAUAUUAACAAAACUCAGAUCAAGUACUAAUUUGGGUAGCGUCACUUUUACUGUUUGCAAAACUUUGAAUUUUUUUAAGACUUAUAAAAAAGAAGAUGUGGUAUGAUUGCCAAUGAGACAACUAUCCACAAAAGACCAAAAUGACACACUCAUUAACAACUAUAGGUCACCGUACGGCCUUCAACAAUGAGCAGAGCCCAUACCGCAUAGUAAGCUAUAAAAGGCUCCGAUAAGACAAUGUAAAACAAUUGAAACGAGAAAAUUAAUGCCCUUAUUUAUGUAAAAAAAUGAACGAAAAACAAAAUAAUGUAACAUAUAAACAAACGACACCACUGAAUUACAGGCUCCUGACUUGGGACAGGCACAUACACAGAGCUCCAGAUAAGCUGCGUAUUUGCGUAAUCACGCAAUAAAAAUCAGAAAAAAAACAAUGCAAUUGCCCAUUGCAGGGUUUAAGUAACCCAAUUCAUUCACAGGAA
rnacentral:lncRNA from 1 species